UACGAAGGGGGUUAGCGUUGCUCGGAAUUACUGGGCGUAAAGGGAGCGUAGGCGGACAUUUAAGUCAGGGGUGAAAUCCCAGAGCUCAACUCUGGAACUGCCUUUGAUACUGGGUGUCUUGAGUAUGAUAGAGGUAUGUGGAACUCCGAGUGUAGAGGUGAAAUUCGUAGAUAUUCGGAAGAACACCAGUGGCGAAGGCGACAUACUGGAUCAUUACUGGCGCUGAGGCUCGAAAGCGUGGGGAGCAAACAGGA
rnacentral:rRNA from 1 species